rnacentral:lncRNA from 1 species
CGGAGUAAGUGCUGAAGCUAGGUGAAAAAGAAGCCGUGGAUGUUAUCUUCUCCAUGUUCUUUAGAAGCUUACUCUUACUCCCUUGAGUCUUGUGUGUGAAUGAUCACUUUCUUUCUUAUUCUUCUCUUUGUUUGGUGGUGUUUUGUUUGUCAUCUUCUAUUAACUGUCGUAUGAACUUAUUUAUAUAGGUGAAGCGGUUUUGUCACAUGGGAAUGACAAUUUUGAGUAAUUGUUUAUUGGAGAAGCUUAAUGUGUCAUUUGCAUUAAACAGCGUAACGUGGACUUUCUAGAAGCGUAUCCCGCUACUUGAUC